rnacentral:rRNA from 1 species
UACGUAGGUGGCAAGCGUUGUCCGGAAUUAUUGGGCGUAAAGCGCGCGCAGGUGGUUUCUUAAGUCUGAUGUGAAAGCCCACGGCUCAACCGUGGAGGGUCAUUGGAAACUGGGGAGCUUGAGUGCAGAAGAGGAAAGUGGAAUUUCAGGUGUAGCGGUGAAAUGCGUAGAUAUCUGAAGGAACAUCAGUGGCGAAAGCGACUUCCUGGACGAAUACUGACGCUCAUGUGCGAAAGCGUGGGGAGCAAACAGG